GAUGAACGCUGGCGGCGUGCCUAAUACAUGCAAGUCGAGCGAACAGACGAGGAGCUUGCUCCUCUGACGUUAGCGGCGGACGGGUGAGUAACACGUGGAUAACCUACCUAUAAGACUGGGGUAACUUCGGGAAACCGGAGCUAAUACCGGAUAAUAUAUUGAACCGCAUGGUUCAAUAGUGAAAGACGGUUUUGCUGUCACUUAUAGAUGGAUCCGCGCCGCAUUAGCUAGUUGGUAAGGUAACGGCUUACCAAGGCAACGAUGCGUAGCCGACCUGAGAGGGUGAUCGGCCACACUGGAACUGAGACACGGUCCAGACUCCUACGGGAGGCAGCAGUAGGGAAUCUUCCGCAAUGGGCGAAAGCCUGACGGAGCAACGCCGCGUGAGUGAUGAAGGUCUUCGGAUCGUAAAACUCUGUUAUUAGGGAAGAACAAAUGUGUAAGUAACUAUGCACGUCUUGACGGUACCUAAUCAGAAAGCCACGGCUAACUACGUG
rnacentral:rRNA from 1 species